CUGUGAAGGAAAGGUGAAAAGGACCCCGGGAGGGGAGUGAAAGAGAACCUGAAACCCUGUGUUUACAAGCUGUGGAAGUUCUUUAAAUGAACAACCGCGUACUUUUUGUAGAACGGUCCGGCGAGUUGCGGAUACUGGCAAGGUUAAGCACUUAAGGUGCGGAGCCGAAGGGAUACCAAGUCUUAACAGGGCGUUAAGUCAGUAUACGCAGACCCGAAACCGGGUGAUCUAUCCAUGUCCAGGUUGAAGUUGUCGUAAAAGACAAUGGAGGACCGAAGCCACAUCCGUUGAAAAGGGUGGGCAUGAGGUGUGGAUAGGGGAGAAAUUCCAAUCGAACCCGGAGAUAGCUGGUUCUCCUCGAAAUAGCUUUAGGGCUAGCCUCGAUUUAGUCUUAUGGAGGUAGAGCACUGAAUUUCCGCGGGGGCGUCAAAGCUUACCAAAGAAUAUCAAACUCCGAAUGCCAUGUAGAUGAUGAUCGGGAGUCAGACUGCACGAGAUAAGUUGGGCAGUCAAAAGGGAAAGAGCCCAGACCACCGGCUAAGGUCCCAAAGUGCGUGUUAAGUGGAAAAGGAUGUGGGAAUUCGAAGACAACUAGGAUGUUGGCUCAGAAGCAGCCAUACAUUCAAAGAGUGCGUAACAGCUCACUAGUCGAGAGUUCCUGCGCCGAAAAUGUCCGGGGCUGAAACACGACACCGAAGCCGUGGACUCGCAAUGCGAGUGGUAGAGGAGCAUUCUUAAAACCGACGAAGCUGUACCGUAAGGAGCAGUGGAGGGAUAAGAAGAGAGAAUGCCGGAAUGAGUAGCGAGAGAAAGGUGGGAAUCCUUUCGGCCGAAUAUCUAAGGUUUCCAGAGUAAAGCUGAUCUGCUCUGGGUAAGUCGGGGCCUAAGCACAGGUCGCAAGACGUAAGCGAUGGAUAACAGGUUUAGAUUCCUGUACCACGCAUUAUCAGAACUGUAGGGACGCAUGUGGAAAGCACGAGCCGGGAAUGGAAAGACCGGUACAAGCGGGGUAGGUGUACAAUAGGCAAAUCCGUUGUAUAAUCCGAAGACGUGAUGUGGAGCGAAAUAAAGUAGUGAAGCGUGUGAGCCAUGUGCCGAGAAAAGCUGCUAUUGUGUAAUGCGUGCCCGUACCGUAAACCGACACAGGUGGAUGAGGAGAGAAUCCUAAGGCCGACGGAAGAAGCAUUGUUAAGGAAUUCGGCAAAAUGACCCCGUAACUUCGGGAGAAGGGGUGCCUGCGAGAGCAGGCCGCAGAGAAUAGGCUCAAGCAACUGUUUAGCAAAAACACAGGUCUAUGCGAAACCGAAAGGUGAAGUAUAUGGGCUGACGCCUGCCCGGUGCUGGAAGGUUAAGAGGAGAGGUUAGCGCAAGCGAAGCUUUGAAUUUAAGCCCCAGUAAACGGCGGCCGUAACUAUAACGGUCCUAAGGUAGCGAAAUUCCUUGUCGGGUAAGUUCCGACCCGCACGAAAGGCGUAAUGAUUUGAGCACUGUCUCGACAAUGCAUCCGGUGAAAUUGAAGUACCAGUGAAGAUGCUGGUUACCCGCGCCAGGACGGAAAGACCCCAUGGAGCUUUACUCCAGUUUGAUACUGGGAUUCGGUACUGCAUGUACAGGAUAGGUGGGAGACGAAGAAGGAUGGACGCCAGUCUGUCCGGAGUCGCUGUUGGGAUACCACCCCUGUAGUACUGGGUUUCUAACCAGUUGCCAUGAACUGGCAAUGGGACAAUGUCAGGCGGGGAGUUUGACUGGGGCGGUCGCCUCCGAAAGGGUAUCGGAGGCGCUCAAAGGUUCCCUCAGAAUGGUUGGAAACCAUUUGAAGAGUGCAAAGGCAGAAGGGAGCUUGACUGCGACACCGACGGGUGGAGCAGGUACGAAAGUAGGACUUAGUGAUCCGGUGGUAUAAAGUGGGAUUGCCAUCGCUCAACGGAUAAAAGCUACCCUGGGGAUAACAGGCUUAUCACUCCCAAGAGUUCACAUCGACGGAGUGGUUUGGCACCUCGAUGUCGGCUCAUCGCAUCCUGGGGCUGUAGCAGGUCCCAAGGGUUGGGCUGUUCGCCCAUUAAAGCGGUACGCGAGCUGGGUUCAGAACGUCGUGAGACAGUUCGGUCCCUAUCCGGCGCGGGCGGAGGAUAUUUGAGAGGAGCUGUCCUUAGUACGAGAGGACCGGGAUGGACGGACCACUGGUGUAUCUGUUGUCGACCAACGGCAUGGCAGAGUAGCCAAGUCUGGAAGGGAUAAACGCUGAAGGCAUCUAAGCGUGAAGCCCCCCUCAAGAUGAGAUAUCCCUCCUUCGGGAGUAAGACCCCUUGAAGACUACAAGGUAGAUAGGGCAGAGGUGGAAGCAUGGCAACAUGUGGAGCUGACUGUUACUAAUAGGUCGAGGGCUUAAUCU
rnacentral:rRNA from 1 species